rnacentral:rRNA from 1 species
UUUAUCCUACGGGAGGCAGCAGUGGGGAAUAUUGCACAAUGGGGGAAACCCUGAUGCAGCGACGCCGCGUGAGUGAAGAAGUAUUUCGGUAUGUAAAGCUCUAUCAGCAGGGAAGAAAAUGACGGUACCUGAUUAAGAAGCCCCGGCUAACUACGUGCCAGCAGCCGCGGUAAUACGUAGGGGGCAAGAGAUAUCCGGAUUUACUGGGUGUAAAGGGAGCGUAGACGGAGAUGCAAGUCAGAAGUGAAAGACCGGGGCUCAACUCCGGG